CCUACGGGAGGCUGCAGUGGGGAAUAUUGCACAAUGGGGGAAACUCUGAUGCAGCGACGCCGCGUGAGUGAAGAAGUAUUUCGGUAUGUAAAGCUCUAUCUGCAGGGAAGAUAAUGACGGUACCUGAGUAAUAUGCCCCGGCUAACUACGUGCCAGCAGCGGCGGUAAUACGCAGGGGGCAAGCGUUAUCCGGAUUUACUGGGUGUAAAGGGAGCGUAGACGGCUUGGCAAGUCUGAAGUGAAAGCCCGGGGCUCAACCGCGGGACUGCUUUGGAAACUGUGAAGCUGGAGUGCAGGAGAGGUAAGAGGAAGUCGGAGUGUAGCGGUGAAAUGCGUAGAUAUUAGGAAGAACACCAGUGGCGAAGGCGGCUUACUGGACUGUAACUGACGUUGAGGCUCGAAAGCGUGGGGAGCGAACAGGAUUAGAUACCCCAGUAGUC
rnacentral:rRNA from 1 species